rnacentral:lncRNA from 1 species
AGAUCCUGAGGACACCUAGCAGCCAUACACCAUCAGCAGAAGGCACUAGGGGAAUAGGAAGCUCUCCGUGUCCCCUGUUCUGGCUGUGUGAUGCAGAUACCAGAAGGAAGAGCUGUCAGGCCUGAGUUAUGGGGAUCUCAUGAUACACUAUGAGAUGACUUCUCGGGGUGGCUCAAGCUGCCACAGUCCUGGGAUGUGGCUGGUACUCUCCAUAACUGUUUCCUGAGUUUCUCUUCUGUAGGAUUUCCUGCAUUUGACCAGUGGUUUUGGGUCUCAAGUCUGCUCUGGAACCAUGAGGAAACCGUGGUUGCCCAGUGUGAGGUACCUGCUCAUUUAGGUUUUCAUUAUCCUCAUUUUUUACUUAAGAAACCUCAAGACUCAGAAAGGUAUAGUGGCAUCUUUCAGUUAAAUAUCAGGGGAUCGAACUUGGGUUCUUGCACUUGCAGCAGGUGGUGAAACCACUGAGCCAAAUCCCCGGCCCUUGAGAAACUUCAGUGCUCUCCACAUAUACCAGUAUAUGUGAAAGGAGAUUGAAUAUGAGAAAUUGGAUCAUGCAGUUAUGGAGCUGGUGUGUCCAACAUCUGCAGUGUGGUUUGGAAGCCUGGUGACACAGUGUAGCUGAUGGUGCAGAGGAUGUCCAGGGGCAGUCUGCUGAAGCAUUCUUUCUUGCUCUGGAAGAAUUCAUAACAGAGGCCCAGGAAGUUAAAUCAACUCCCUAAGGCCCACAACUCGUGGUAAGAGGGGGACUGAAAUUCCUGCUGACCUGCUGCUGACACUGACUCCUCUCAGCGGGGCGCUGGAGUUGAGAGAACAAUCCUGACCCAACCCUUUAGAAAUGUGGACACUAAUGAUAAUGAUGAGCAAGGAUGGCGAUCAUUGGAGGAAAGAUGAAC